rnacentral:rRNA from 1 species
GAUGAACGCUGGCGGCGUGCCUAAUACAUGCAAGUCGAGCGAACAGAUGAGGAGCUUGCUCCUCUGACGUUAGCGGCGGACGGGUGAGUAACACGUGGAUAACCUACCUAUAAGACUGGGAUAACUUCGGGAAACCGGAGCUAAUACCGGAUAAUAUAUUGAACCGCAUGGUUCAAUAGUGAAAGACGGUUUUGCUGUCACUUAUAGAUGGAUCCGCGCUGCAUUAGCUAGUUGGUAAGGUAACGGCUUACCAAGGCAACGAUGCGUAGCCGACCUGAGAGGAUGAUCGGCCACACUGGAACUGAGACACGGUCCAGACUCCUACGGGAGGCAGCAGUAGGGAAUCUUCCGCAAUGGGCGAAAGCUUGACGGAGCAACGCCGCGUGAGUGAUGAAGGUCUUCGGAUCGUAAAACUCUGUUAUUAGGGAAGAACAAAUGUGUAAGUAACUAUGCACGUCUUGACGGUACCUAAUCAGAAAGCCACGGCUAACUACGUG